AGAGUUUGAUCCUGGCUCAGGACGAACGCUGGCGGCGUGCUUAACACAUGCAAGUCGAACGGAGUUUAAAUCAGUAGUUUACUACAGAUUUAAACUUAGUGGCGGACGGGUGAGUAACACGUGGGCAACCUGCCCUAAAGAGGGGGAUAACACCGAGAAAUCGGUGCUAAUACCGCAUAAAAUUAGAGCUUCGCAUGGAGCUUUAAUCAAAGGAGUAAUCCGCUUUAGGAUGGGCCCGCGUCUGAUUAGCUAGUUGGUGAGGUAGAGGCUCACCAAGGCAACGAUGACUAGGCGGCCUGAGAGGGUGGCCGCCCACACUGGAACUGAGACACGGUCCAGACUCCUACGGGAGGCAGCAGUGGGGAAUUUUGCGCAAUGACCGAAAGGUUGACGCAGCAACGCCGCGUGUAUGAUGAAGGCUUUCGGGUCGUAAAGUACUUUCAGUGGGGAAGAACUGCAUAAUCAGUAACUGGGUUAUGAUUGACGGUACCCACAGAAGCAGCCCCGGCUAACUCCGUGCCAGCAGCCGCGGUAAUACGGAGGGGGCAAGCGUUGUUCGGAGUCACUGGGCGUAAAGAGCUCGUANGUGGCAGUGU
rnacentral:rRNA from 1 species